UCUAAGGUUUCCAGGGUAAAGCUGAUCUGCCCUGGGUAAGUCGGGGCCUAAGGCGAGGCGGAGACGCGUAGUCGAUGGACAACUGGUGUAGAUUCCAGUACCUUACUAAAUCAGAAAUGUGGGGACACAUGGAGAAAGAGAGAGCCGGGAAUGAGAAGACCGGUGCAAGGGAGGUAGGAGUGUAGUAGGAAAAACCGCUAUACAAUCUGAAGACCUGAUGCGGAUCGAACUAAAGUAGAGAAGCUCUUGAACUCUGUGGCGAGAAAAGCCGCUAUAGUGUUUAGUAAGCCCGUACCGCAAACCGACACAGGUAGAUGAGGAGAGAAUCCUAAGGCCGGCGGGAGAAGCAUUGUUAAGGAACUCGGCAAAAUGACCCCGUAACUUCGGGAGAAGGGGUGCCCAGGCAACUGGGCCGCAGAGAAAAGGCUCAAGCAACUGUUUAGCAAAAACACAGGUCUAUGCGAAACCGUAAGGUGAGGUAUAUGGGCUGACGCCUGCCCGGUGCUGGAAGGUUAAGAGGAGAGGUUAGCGCAAGCGAAGCUUUGAAUUGAAGCCCCAGUAAACGGCGGCCGUAACUAUAACGGUCCUAAGGUAGCGAAAUUCCUUGUCGGGUAAGUUCCGACCCGCACGAAAGGCGUAAUGAUUUGAGCGCUGUCUCAACAAUGCACCCGGUGAAAUUGAAGUGCCAGUGAAGAUGCUGGUUACCCGCGCCAGGACGGAAAGACCCCAUGGAGCUUUACUCCAGCUUGAUACUGGGAUUCGGUAAUGUAUGCACAGGAUAGGUGGGAGACUGAGAGGAUAGUACUUCGGUAUUAUCGGAGUCGCUGUUGGGAUACCACCCUUAUGUUAUUGGAUUUCUAACCUUAGGCCGUAAGCCGGUCAAGGGACAAUGUCAGGUGGGGAGUUUGACUGGGGCGGUCGCCUCCGAAAGUGUAUCGGAGGCGCUCAAAGGUUCCCUCAGGAUGGUUGGAAACCAUCCAAAGAGUGUAAAGGCAUAAGGGAGCCUGACUGCGAGGCUGACGGGCCAAGCAGAGUAGAAAUACGGACUUAGUGAUCCGGUGGUAUGAAAGUGGGAUUGCCAUCGCUCAACGGAUAAAAGCUACCCUGGGGAUAACAGGCUGAUCUCCCCCAAGAGUUCACAUCGACGGGGAGGUUUGGCACCUCGAUGUCGGCUCAUCGCAUCCUGGGGCUGAAGUCGGUCCCAAGGGUUGGGCUGUUCGCCCAUUAAAGCGGUACGCGAGCUGGGUUCAGAACGUCGUGAGACAGUUCGGUCCCUAUCCGGCGCGGGCGUAGGAUAUUUGAGAGGAUCUGUCCUUAGUACGAGAGGACCGGGAUGGACUGACCUCUGCUGAACCUGUUGGGAAUCAAUCCCAUCGCAGGGUAGGCAAGUUGGGAAUGGAUAAACGCUGAAGGCAUCUAAGCGUGAAGCCAACCUCAAGAUGAGAUAUCCCAUCGCAAGAGUAAGACCCCUUGAAGAGAACGAGGUAGAUAGGACUGAGGUGUAAGUGUAGCAAUACAUUCAGCUGACAGUUACUAAUAGGUCGAGGGCUUAUCCAA
rnacentral:rRNA from 1 species